CCUUCUUUUACUGUGAUCAUUAAUACCCUCUCUCAUCAAUACAAGCUAAUUACAGGUAGAUUCUUAACCACUGGACCACCAAGGAAGUCCUGAAAGUGAUUCUUGACUCACAGAAAGAACUCAGGAAAGAACGGCCACACUGUCUUUGCCUAAGAUGCCCAGACGACUGUAGGAAGAACCCCCUAUGGAAUGAAAAACAACUCCACCAUCACCAAGAACCCAUCAAAUGUUGACUAAAUAAAUGAUUUUCUUCUUUUACUAUGCAUGGUGUUCACCUGGGGUAAUUAUAGAAACACACAAUUGUCCAAACUCUGCCCCAGGUGUUCUGAUUCAAGGAGCCCAAGCUUAAGUAUGUGUAAAAAGUGUUUCGGGUGAUUCUAAUGAGUGGGCAGGUCUAGACUUCUUGGGCAGGCUCUAUGUUUUCCCAAGAAGAUCCAGAAUUAGUUUAGAAGAAUCUAAAAAGUAGAUUUGUUGUUUAGUGGUCUCCACUGAAACUAGAACUAUGUGAUUGUGCUGUAACUAAAUAAUUCUUUUAUCAUUAAUGCUGUGUGAAACUCUGGACCUCAGUCUCCUCAACUGUAUGAUAGAGGCUUCGAUUAUGUAUUUUCAAAGGUCUCUCCCAGUUUUGAUUUUCUAACAUAUUAUGACCCUGAAUUUGUUUAUCACUCAAAUUCCUGAAGAGGAUUACAGCUGGAGGAAUUGUGUAGGAAUUUGAAAAAGGCUGAAUAAAUAAAUAAAUAAUAAAUAACAGCACUCGGUAGAUCCAAAUCUUAAAGCUAACUCCCUGAAGAGGCUGGAUAAGAAUGCAGACUUAAUGGAGCUCCGUCUCUCGUGACCUUGGACAGAUUACCCAACUGCCUCAAUUUUCUUACCUGUAAAAUGGAGUCAGUAAUAGUACUGGCAUCACGAAAUUUUUCAGAUUAAAAGAGUUAAUCCAUGUGAAGUACUUUGAACACUGCUUGGCUACAAGUGCUCAAUAAAUAUUACCUGUUAUUAUUGUGAUUUCAAGGCUCCUUCCUUUUACUUCAGUUCAUUUAACUACAACCAAAAACACCUCUCUACCUUCAGGUUCUACUAUCCCAUUAGCUGAAUGAAAUUUGUAUCAAGGAGAAGAGCAAGCUCAACUAGUGUUGUGAAGGCAAGUCUGUUGCUGGAAUCCUGUGAGAAAAUCUUAAAGAGGGCAAAAUCUAGAUGUGUGAAUUUUCAUGCCCCCACAUGGGACUGCCAUAAGCUGUUUGCUCAAGAAAGAGAACAGUGUGGACUUCCCUGGUGGUCCAGUGGCUAAGACGCC
ensembl:lncRNA